rnacentral:tRNA from 1 species
GAUUAGUUCAGCUGGAUAGAAUGUCUGCCUACGGAGCAGAUGGUCGUAGGUUCGAAUCCUGCAUCGGGUAUUCA